UCUGCCAUUAUAACGAUCAGGUUGUGUUCUGGGCCUAAUAUCUGUGUUGUUGCUCUGCUAUGAAAUAUUAGGGGUUGGAGAUUGAAGGGGAGUUGCCUGAGAAAAAGACUUGUUAUGAAGGAGUAUUUUAUAAUUACUUUAGCAUAGGAAUGGAUGCUCAGGUGGCUUACGACUUUCAUCAUUUACGUAAUGAGAAACCUUACCUGGCACAAGGACCAAUUUAUAAUAAGGUCUGGUUUGUUAUCUUAUUAUGUGAAAAGUCUUGUGAUUACAGACUAUUACCAAUGAUUUUUUAGAACUAAAAUUGUUAUUUGGAUAUUUGUAUCUUGAUG